GGCCUGGUAGCCAAGUGGUAAGGCAAGGGACUGCAAAUCCCUUAUACGGGGGUUCAAUUCCCCCCCAGGCCU
rfam:Parcubacteria bacterium GW2011_GWA2_46_10 TX29_C0002, whole genome shotgun sequence.